rnacentral:rRNA from 1 species
UACGGAGGGUGCGAGCGUUGUCCGGAAUCAUUGGGCGUAAAGGGCGCGUAGGUGGCCCGGUCAGUUCGUGGUGAAAGCGCGGGGCUCAACCCUGCGUCGGCCAUGAAUACUGCCGCGGCUGGAGCACUGUAGAGGCAGGCGGAAUUCCGGGUGUAGCGGUGGAAUGGCGUAGAGAUCCGGAAGAACACCGGUGGCGAAGGCGGCCUGCUGG